UAAAUGAGUUGGUUAGUUCUCUUAUCACUUAUUCUCAGCAUUCACGAAGUAUUUUUUUUUUAAUUACCCCAAUUUCCAAGCCCUCUACAGACUACAGCUGCCGCCUGCCGUGCAUCACCUGUGACCUGUCGCCCGCUGUCCGCACCACCUGACCGCCGGCGUCCACCUGCCAUCUGCCUCUGCCGCACCACACCACUGCACCAGCUUUGCUCCUCUUCUUUAAGGUUCCCAGUUCAUAAGAGGAAAGUAGAACCUUAGUUGGGUGAUUUUUGUAACUUUGGUCGUGCAGUGACGCUUGCAGCAGGAGGAUCAUAGCUUGACAUGACAGUUAUAGGAGCUUCUUUUGCUUUGCAUUGGGGGAAAGAGCAAAGUACGGUCGUAAUAAUUGUGUACAAAUUGCCUAAUGCUUGUAGCUUCUAUAUUACUUGUAAAGUUUUCUUUUGGGAUUGUAUAAUUUCUUUCGUAUGGAGCCAUGUGACUCCUUGUAUGAUCCAUAGUUCCGCUGCGUAAUUUUUGGAUGUAUAGUAGUGAGAAUACUCUUUUAGUAUCCGUCAGAUUGAGGCAUUAACACUGGAACCACGAUCCUCGUUAGAGUUGAUGAUUUGAGAAGCCGACGAUGAUUCAUUCCGUCGUGGCGUAUUUUUGAAAGGCAUUAAAAGCCUUAGAUUAGUUUAGUUAUGUUAAUCAUUUAUAUAUCCUUGUCACACCCUCAGUUUUAAUCGAGAUGCUGCCGAAAUUUUCACUUACUCACUUUUUCAAUUAAUCUUUAGCGUUUAUUUUAAUUAUUUUCUCUUUUCUUUUUAUGUAACACCCGAAUUUCCUCCCGUCCUUCACGAUUCUAAUUUCGUUUAAGGGGUUGGAAAUUCAGGGGUGUUACAUUAGGACUAAACUCGGUUUUGGUUUAGAUUUCCAGAAAUAAAAUCAACCAAUAUAAAAAUUACAUUAAUCACAAUGAUAUUUCACUGCCCCAAUGUCAUUAAGUGGCUCCCACCUAUGGUGGUGGAGGUAGGACUAUUGUGUUUUUAGUGUUCUUUGAACUGCUUUAAGUUUAUACACACAAAUACACAAUGGCUGAUGCAGUGAUGAAUACACAUUUUUUUUCAACUUUUGUAGAAAUACUAUUUUUUUAUUUAAUUAUCGCAACCUCUUCGUGAUGAGGGUAUUGGUCUGUUAUCUUUCCCACCCUUCUCAAACUAUGCCUUAAGCGGGAUUCAUUAGGAUGAUAAUGAUGAAAUUGAUGCACCAUAAUUCUUUGAAUUAAAAGUUCAUAGAGGUUUUACAAAUGAAAAACAAGAUGAUAAAGACAACAAGAAACAAUGGAAAGAAGAAUACACAAUGCAUGAGGUAUCUUGGAUACCUCCUCCUCAACAAAUAUUUAUUUAUAUUAGAUUCAACAAUUCAAUAUAAAUAACCCUCUCAAACUUGAGAACAACCUAUCAAGAUAACAAUCUCCUAACAAUGGAGAUCACAAAUACUAACACAAAGAAAGAA